CCGGCGCCGAACGCGCCAAGGAAACACGAUUCUAAGGGCGUUCUCUUGUCGUCCCGGCAACGGUGCACGUGCAAUGAGUGACGCGAAAUCUGUAUCCAAAAUGACUCUCGGCAACGGAUAUCUCGGCUCUCGCAUCGAUGAAGAACGUAGCGAAAUGCGAUACUUGGUGUGAAUUGCAGAAUCCCGUGAACCAUCGAGUCUANGAACGCAAGUUGCGCCCGAAGCCAUUAGGCCGAGGGCACGUCUGGCUGGGUGUCACGCAACGUCGCCCCAACCCCCAUGCCCAUCGCAGGGCGUCGGGGGUCGAGGGCGGAUGAUGGCCUCCCGUGAGCCACGCCUCGCGGAUGGCCGAAAUAAGAGUUCGCGAUGUGGCGAGCACCACGGCGCACGGUAGUUGAGUAAACAACGCUCGAGCCCAGUCGUGCGUGCUCCGCCCCCGUGGCGAAUUCGGAGACCCUAUCGCGUCUCGGGACGCUUCUUGAUGCGACCUCAGCUCAGGCGGGGCUACCCGCUGAGUUUAAGCAUAUCAAUAA
rnacentral:rRNA from 1 species